rnacentral:snRNA from 1 species
AAACCAUAAAAUAAAAAAUUUGAUUUUAUUAUAUAAAAGGUUCGCUAUUCACUGAGGAACUUUCACCACCUCCCCUUAAUUAAUCAAACAAAAAACCUUCUUUUUUUUUAUAAA